UUUAGCUUUGUAUCUUGCAAGUUUUGCAGUUGGAAAUUUCUUGAACUAGCUUUCGCUUUUGAUGAUAACACUUUGUGUUUGUAAUCACAUCCAUAUAUUUAUAUAUAUAUGUGUGUGUGUGUACACACACACACACACACACACACAUAUAUAUAAAUGUAGGAAGCUCCAUAUUUCUAUUGCUUUAAGUAGUAAAACCUUCCACUUAAAUAAGAUGACAUGCAUAAGAUAACAAAGCUUCUUUGAUUUCCUUUUCCUGUGUAAUUUGAUAGAUUUCUUGACUAGUGCUUGGGCACAGAAUAAAUCAGUGUUAUUUGCUCUUGA
rnacentral:lncRNA from 1 species